AUAACAGGUACUGGUCCAGGUUAUUUCUAGAUUUUACUAUACAAUUUUGUAGGGUGUCACAGAGUGCCUUUUACUAACUUCUGGUGAUUAUAUCAAAACGGCAAGACUGGAACCCAUCAUAUCAAGUCCAUAAUACAGGUAUGCUUUUCCAUGUUGCACUGCCUUAACAACUGCCAGCAUGGACGUUGAUGGCCGUAAGAAGAUGCCAGUUAUUGUUAUUUUCCAUUGUCUUUUGGAUGGGUAGCGGUAAUUCCUUCUUUUAGUCUUUUCAAUAUAGGCAUGAUUAAAUGUACCGUAAAAAUCAAUUUUUUCCUUUCUCUUGCCUAUGUAUCUACUGGAGCUACCCUCUUGGAUCAAUUAGCCAGCAGUGAUAUAAACAUGAGAAUUAAAUGACCUUCCUGUGUAUUUUGUUGUAUAAUUUGUCUCUCUUGUGCUUGGUUUGUAAUAUUCACUUGGGGAUACUUCUUAGCUAUGAAAAUUCUUGUUCAUAAGUAAAAUGUUGGAGAGGUUAUUUAUGUUA